GCUGCAAGAAAUUUUGUUCCAGUAUCCUUUUAUCAUUUUUCAUUUCCUUAGGAUGAGACUUUAAUAAAUGUAUGCGUCUAUGCAUGCAUAUAUGAGUUAAUUUUUAUAUGCAAGUAUGUGUGCUUGAUGUAUAGGAAAGAUUUUUCUGCUAUGCUUGGUUUUUUGUUCUUAUAUAUCUAUUUAAUGAUACACAAAUGACUUCAAACCUAAUGGGAUAUUUGGUUUGUGAAGAGACAUGUAGCUGUGAUCAUAUUGGAUUCACCAUGUUUACUUGGUAUUUGUUCUCCGUUGGCCAUAGCUUUUUUUUUUUUUUUCAUU
rnacentral:misc_RNA from 1 species